UAAACCAUGCACCGAAGCUGCGGCAGCGACACUAUGUGUUGUUGGGUAGGGGAGCGUUCUGUAAGCCUGCGAAGGUGACCUGUGAGGGUUGCUGGAGGUAUCAGAAGUGCGAAUGCUGACAUAAGUAACGAUAAAGCGGGUGAAAAGCCCGCUCGCCGGAAGACCAAGGGUUCCUGUCCAACGUUAAUCGGGGCAGGGUGAGUCGACCCCUAAGGCGAGGCCGAAAGGCGUAGUCGAUGGGAAACAGGUUAAUAUUCCUGUACUUGGUGUUACUGCGAAGGGGGGACGGAGAAGGCUAUGUUAGCCGGGCGACGGUUGUCCCGGUUUAAGCAUGUAGGCUGAUUAUCCAGGCAAAUCCGGAUAAUCAAGGCUGAGGUGUGAUGACGAGGCACUACGGUGCUGAAGUAACAAAUGCCCUGCUUCCAGGAAAAGCCUCUAAGCAUCAGGUAACAUCAAAUCGUACCCCAAACCGACACAGGUGGUCAGGUAGAGAAUACCAAGGCGCUUGAGAGAACUCGGGUGAAGGAACUAGGCAAAAUGGUGCCGUAACUUCGGGAGAAGGCACGCUGGUGUGUAGGUGAAGCCCCUGCGGGUGGAGCUGAGACCAGUCGAAGAUACCAGCUGGCUGCAACUGUUUAUUAAAAACACAGCACUGUGCAAACACGAAAGU
rnacentral:rRNA from 1 species